GACACUAUGGCCGAGUGGUUAAGGCGACAGACUCGAAUGACUUCGACAUCUGUUGGGCUCUGCCCGCGCAGGUUCAAAUCCUGCUGGUGUCG
rfam:Gloeophyllum trabeum ATCC 11539 unplaced genomic scaffold GLOTRscaffold_00003, whole genome shotgun sequence.